rnacentral:rRNA from 1 species
UACGGGGGGGGCAAGCGUUGUUCGGAAUUACUGGGCGUAAAGGGCUCGUAGGCGGCCAACUAAGUCAGACGUGAAAUCCCUCGGCUUAACCGGGGAACUGCGUCUGAUACUGGAUGGCUUGAGUUUGGGAGAGGGAUGCGGAAUUCCAGGUGUAGCGGUGGAAUGCGUAGAGAUCGGGAAGAACAUCAGUGGCGAAGGCGGCCUGCUGGGCUGUUGCUGACGCUGAGGCGCGACAGCGUGGGGAGCAAACAGGG